rnacentral:misc_RNA from 1 species
UUUCCGUAGGUGAACCUGCGGAAGGAUCAUUAACGAGUAAGGUUCAUUAUGGCCCGUCCUCCAACCCUUUGUUUAAUUACUAUGUUGCUUUGGCGGGCCCGUUUCACGACCGCCGGAAGUCCUCGGUCUUCUCUCCCGUCAAAGCCAAUAACCUUCUACAAACUCUUGAUCAAUUGUAAUGUCUUAGUAAUAAAUUUAAUAGUUAAAACUUUCAACAACGGAUCUCUUGGUUCUG